rnacentral:rRNA from 1 species
CUAACUGGAGGACCGAACCGACUAAUGUUGAAAAAUUAGCGGAUGACUUGUGGCUGGGGGUGAAAGGCCAAUCAAACCGGGAGAUAGCUGGUUCUCCCCGAAAGCUAUUUAGGUAGCGCCUCGUGAACUCAUCUUCGGGGGUAGAGCACUGUUUCGGCUAGGGGGUCAUCCCGACUUACCAACCCGAUGCAAACUGCGAAUACCGAAGAAUGUUAUCACGGGAGACACACGGCGGGUGCUAACGUCCGUCGUGAAGAGGGAAACAACCCAGACCGCCAGCUAAGGUCCCAAAGUCAUGGUUAAGUGGGAAACGAUGUGGGAAGGCACAGACAGCCAGGAUGUUGGCUUAGAAGCAGCCAUCAUUUAAAGAAAGCGUAAUAGCUCACUGGUCGAGUCGGCCUGCGCGGAAGAUGUAACGGGGCUAAACCAUGCACCGAAGCUGCGGCAGCGACACUAUGUGUUGUUGGGUAGGGGAGCGUUCUGUAAGCCGUUGAAGGUGUGUCGUGAGGUAUGCUGGAGGUAUCAGAAGUGCGAAUGCUGACAUAAGUAACGAUAAUGCGGGUGAAAAACCCGCACGCCGGAAGACCAAGGGUUCCUGUCCAACGUUAAUCGGGGCAGGGUGAGUCGACCCCUAAGGCGAGGCCGAAAGGCGUAGUCGAUGGGAAACAGGUUAAUAUUCCUGUACUUGGUGUUACUGCGAAGGGGGGACGGAGAAGGCUAUGUUAGCCGGGCGACGGUUGUCCCGGUUUAAGCAUGUAGGCGGAGGUUCCAGGUAAAUCCGGUACCUUUUAACGCUGAGGUGUGAUGACGAGGCACUACGGUGCUGAAGUAACAAAUGCCCUGCUUCCAGGAAAAGCCUCUAAGCAUCAGGUAACACGAAAUCGUACCCCAAACCGACACAGGUGGUCAGGUAGA